GACGAACGCUGGCGGCGGGCUUAACACAUGCAAGUCGAACGGAAAGGUUCUGCUGUUGUGGGGUGCUCGAGUGGCGACCGGGUGAGAAACACGUGAGUAUCCUGAACUAGACUUUGGGAUAACUUCAGGUAACUGGGACUAAUACCGGAUAGGAGCUCCUGCUGCAUGGUGGGGGUUGGAAAGUUUCGGCGGUUGGGGAUGGACUCGCGGCUUGUCAGCUUGUUGGUUGGGUAGUGGCUUACCAAGGCAUUGACGAGUAGCCGGCCUGAUAGGGUGACCGGCCACAUUGGAACGGAGAUGCGGCCCAGACUCCUACGGGAGGCAGCAGUGGGGAAUAGUGCACAAUGGGCUGAAGCCUGAUGCAGCAACGCCGCGUGCGGGAUGACGUCCUUCGGUUUGUGUUCCGCUUUCGCCUGUGACGAAGCGUGAGUGACGGUAAUGGGUAAAGAAGCACCGGCUAACUACGUG
rnacentral:rRNA from 1 species